GACCCUCAGGAUCUCACCUGGAGUGUUUCCAGUACUUUACCAGCCUCAGCUAGAAGAGGGAGAGUCAAGCAGAGGCAUACCCAUUCCAUUCCUAGCUUGGGCAGAGGCUAGCAAGUGGAAGGCAAUCUGCUACAAGU
rfam:Ornithorhynchus anatinus chromosome X5, whole genome shotgun sequence.